CAAUAGCGUAUAUUAAAGUUGUUGCGGUUAAAAGCUCGUAGUUGGAUUUCUGCCGAGGACGACCGGUCCGCCCUCUGGGUGAGUAUCUGGCUCGGCCUGGGCAUCUUCUUGGAGAACGUAGCUGCACUUGACUGUGUGGUGCGGUAUCCAGGACUUUACUUGAGGAAAUUAGAGUGUUUCAAGCAGGCAUACGCCUUGAAUACAUUAGCAUGGAAUAAUAAGAUAGGACCUCGGUUCUAUUUUGUUGGUUUCUAGAGCUGAGGUAAUGAUUAAUAGGAUAGUUGGGGUAUUUGUAUUCAACUGUCAGAGGUGAAAUUCUUGGAUUUGUUGAAGACAGACUACUGCGAAAGCAUUUACCAAGGAUGUUUUCAUUGAUCAAGAACGAAAGUUAGGGGAUCGAAGAUGAUCAGAU
rnacentral:rRNA from 1 species